AAUUCUUUCAACUGAUAUUAUUUUGUUCUCUGCAUUGCAUACAGACCAUAUAAACGAUGCUUGCAGAACAUUCAAAUUAAUUCCAUAUGUAACCGUUAAUCCUGCAAUACCUGCAGAUAAUUUUCAAUAAUAUAUAUGUAGGGAUACUAGCAGAAUUAGAGAAAAGGCAAAAACAAAAUUGGACAAUUGAUUCAGUCUGAAUGAAAGCCAUUCCAUUGCCACAACAUUAUGGAACCAUGGCCUAGAGUGUCCAUCAAUGAGUUCGAGGUUUACAUCAGUGAACCUAUCUUUCUGGUUAAAAGCACGGAUAGUUGUGGCUCCAGUAAGCGACUCUGCAAAAUGAUGAAGGAUUGGGGCUCUUUGAAUUUCUGACAGGCGGGCUAGUUCCCUUGCUGUUGGUAUGUAGUAUUGCUGAAACCAUUUUGAGAAACACAAGAAAGAUGAUGAUGAGUAAGUAGUCAAGGAAAUUCAUAUAUGACUAUAUUUCCAAGGCCUUAUUUGAUGAUGGGUUAUCUGGAAAUUAUCCUUUGUUUUUAUAACAUUUUAAGUAUCAAGUAUAAAGGAUAUUUUAUUCCUUAAACCUAAAUAAUCCAUUUUUUCAUCAAACCAUUUAAAAAAAAAAUAAUUGAAUUAUUUAAAAAAUGAUUAACCUACAUCAAACAAGAUCUGAGUCUUUGUUUUUUUUAAGAUUUCAAUUAAUACUAUUGCUAUUUGUUUCGGAUCAAUCAUAUACAUAUCUUUAGAAAAAGGAAAGAGUAUGUUACUUGAUACAAUAUGCAGAUAGCUGUGACUGGAACAAGAAUAGCGAAUACUUCCCAUGCUACUUGUGACAUGACUAUUAUUGUCCCUAGAAGCUGAAUUAAUGCGAAAGCACACGAUCCUAGUCUGUUUGCCAUCUCCAAAUCUAGCACACUUUGGUCAGAAGAUACCUGUGCAUGAUAUAGAAAGUAAAAAAAUAUGUUAUUGCUUGCACAAUUCAAGUGACCAGUAGUUUUAUUUUUAUAUAUUGCUUACCCGAUUCAAGAUUCUCCCAGUAGGAGUUGAAUCAAAGAAGGCCAUUGGAGCAUGGAACACACUAUGUAGCAUCUUGGUAAAGAAAUUUUCUGCUGUUAAGAGUCCUGCUAUUGCAACUAACGUGGAUCGGACAAGAACGCAGAAAGAACUUCCAAAAGCAAGAAGUACAUAGACGAGUAACACGAAUUUCAUCUCUGAUAUUGAUUUAGUGCUACUGUUUGAAGGGCAAGACCAAGCCAUCCAGUAGUUACUGGCUAUUUGCAAUGCCUGGAAAGUUGACUGAGCCAGGAUUAUAAUUGGAACUAAAGCUCCACCUCUUACUGCAGUCAAGUAAGACAGGUAUACUUCUUUUGCUAUUCUUCCCUUCUCUCUUUCUUCGUCAUGCACUAAUUUUCCUUCCUUGUCGUUUAUCUCUUCGGAGAGAUCAUUUUUUAGCUCAUGUUGAGUUUGUAAAGUUUCUCCAUUUACUGAGUGAGAAUCCACAAUGGUCUCUGAAUCUAGUCCAUUUUCUUGAUGUUCCCUGCUUGAAUUUUCAAUGAUUGCCACGGAUUCCAAUGCUUGGCUAUGGGCACCGACUAAAACUUCAAAUCCGGUAUUCUGAUCUAAUAGCUCUUUAAAUGUUCCAGCUUGUUUAAUUUGUCCAUUUUGCAUUACCUGUGAUGUUAUGAUACUUAAUACUCUUCUUUUAAUUAUGUUAUAUCAUUACAGUUUGAAAGGUUACUGAUAAUGCAUACCAGAAUGAGGUCUGCAGCUGGAAGAAAUUCAACUUGAUGGGUAACAUAAAGUAUUGUCUUGUCUUUAAGUAUUCCCAUUAUACAGUCCUGUACAAUAAAGAAGAAAAUAUCAGUAAUCUUAGCCUCCCACUUCAAUUAAGGUGUUCUAAGUAGAAAUUGAACUUGAGACCUCAAUCUCUAAGUUCAGUACUACUUGAGCUACACUGGGUGGGUUGGUAUGACCACCCUUUUCAGAUUAUUAUUGAUUUACCUCAAAUAGUUGUCUUCCUGUGUGUGCAUCAACGGCACUAAAAGGGUCAUCAAGAAGAUAAAUAUCAGCAUCCUGAUAAACAGAACGAGCAAUUUGAAUCCUCUGUUUCUGUCCCCCACUCAUAUUUAUCCCUCUUUCUCCAAUCUCUGUCAAAUCUCCAGCAGAGAAUAACUCUAAAUCCUUUAUCAACGCACAUGCCUUGACUGUUCUAUGAUAAUUCGCGAUAUCAUACGGACUCCCAAAUAGAAUGUUAUCUCUAACAUUACCCGAUUGUAUCCAUGCAGACUGUGGAACAUAAGCAGUUGAGCCACCAACCAUAACCGUCCCUGAAAUUUUGUCCAUCUCCCCCAAUAUACACGAUAGCAAGCUCGAUUUACCAGAUCCAACUGUACCACAUAUCGCGACCCGCAUUCCCUUUUUAACACGUAAACUUAUUGAAUCCAGAGUCGGUCUUCUUGUAUCAGAAUCCCAACUGAAUCUCCCAUUAUCAAUUUCUAUAGAGUACUCGGUUUGAUCCUUUACUACAAACAUAACUGCAUCAGUUUUAAUCUCAUCUUCUUGCAGGUAAGAUGCGAUUCGAUCAGCCGAGACCUUCCCCUGCGCAAUCACAUUGAGUAAAUCGGGUAAAUUAAAUAUCGGUGACUGCAACAUCUGGAAUGUAGCCAACGCCGAUAGAACUCUCCCAGACGUUAAUGGAAUCCCCAUCAAAAGACACGCGACAAAAGUUGACGCAGAAAUGAACGUUGGUGAGCCCCAGAAAAUGAAGCUCAUAAUCGCUUGCAACCUUAAAGAUUUCCAUAUCCAAUUAUACUCUAUUCUCCUCAGGCUUUCCAUCUUUCGAAGGUAGUGAUUAUCCCACGCUUGUAGUUUCAGAGUCUUCAUGUUUCUAAGAAUUUCUGUGGUCGAUUUCAUCCUCUCAUCCUUUGCAUCCAUAAUCUUCGACUGGUAUGCCUUGUUAGUUCUAGUUAAUGGUAUAUUGAUAGCCAUCACAAAUAAAGUCGUGGCUAAGCUCACUAUCGAGCCCAAUCCGAUAUCUUUGUGAAGAAUUGUUAUCGCGAGAAAGAUCUGUAUAGGCAACAUCCAGAUUGUGUUCAUAUACCAAAUGAAAUCCGUGAUUCUUUGAAUGUCCACACUCAUGUAAUUUACAAUCUCUCCACUGGUCCUGCUUUGACGCGCUUGACUCGACAGGAUGAGUCCCUUUUUAUAUAUGUGUGAAAUCAAAGCUGCUCUUAGUCGGAGUCCUAACUGACGUGCCCCGAAUAUCCAUUGCCUCUGAGAUAUCGUUUCUAUCAUUUUUGCUACGAGAAAACCCAAUGCAAUAAGGUAACCAGUCUUCAAGCUUUUCGUUUCCUUUUCAUUUAGGUAAUUCACAAAAUCUUCUAUAAGGUACGGUCCAACGUACGACGAAAUUGCAUUAAUAACAGCGAAAAAUGCAUUUAUCGCCGCCUUUUUCCUUAUAAGCAGAUAGAUAGCCUUGUAGAUCGAUGGUUUCAAACUCCCGUCACUCUCCUUGACCCGCUUUAGACAUUCGUCGAACGAACACGAUAGAAACGCAGCCGAAUCAUUGAAGUCAACGUCAGGAACUUCAUUCUGUUCGAGUGGUUUCUUGUUCCCAACGGAAAACAAGGGGUUUAGCCAUGAAAAGCUAAUGCGUUGGAAAAUAGUAGUGUUUUCGUACAAACACGUUCUUUUUCGAUGGAGAAGUGGUUCUUCUUCACUGGUGGAAUCUGAAAACUCAAUUUGAAUCCCCGAUUUUCCUCGAAUUGAUAUUCCCAUGAGAAAAGCAGACAAAAGAAACUCAAUCAGGUCACCAUAUUCACGAGCAGUGAAGAUUAAACGAGCAUCGAGAACCAAACGAGCUGACACUAGAAAGAAAUUGAGAAGCCACCAGCCUCUCAAAAUCAAAGGAUUUCUGCAUAAGAAUUGCAUCCAUCAUUUCUGCUUUGUAGGACAAGUAACAUCAGAAGGUGAGUUGAUAGAAGUAAGAUGGAAGAAAAUAUGCUGAUUUUAUAUGUGAGGCCAAAUUUUGAUUUUCCCCCAUUUGAGUACUUAUGAUCUACUGUUGUUGUUGUUGUUGUCUUUCUUCCAUGUUUGCAUAACGAGUAGAUCAUAUUACAAGCCGAGUGGAGGAAAAAUGUUGCCAGAAAACCAAGUUGCAGAAUUAUGCUGCUGUUCACCCACAAGCAAGAAAAAGCAAAAGGAGAUAAUUAUUGGUACUAACAAUUCAUGACGUGUCUAUAUGUCUUUCGUUCAUCAAGGAGAAAGAAAGCUUCAUUUUUAUAUUGUAAGUUUCAUCUCUUACUAAAGAUUAAAAAGCUUACCAAUAAUGUGCGGUUCCCGCACAAUAAAAGCAUGAUGGAGAAAAGAAACGUCAUAAAAUUAAUAAUAUUAAAAGAAAAGUGUUGCUAUC